CUCUUAGGUUGUGCUUCACAGUUGGAACUGCAUUGUUUGGGAGAUUAAAGGAGGCUGUCCACGAGGCUCCACAGCACUGCGUGCAAGAGUAAGAUGCCCAGAUUCUUAAGGAUUGGCCACAUCGACCCAAAGGAGAAGUUCUUCUCCAGGCGGAGCCGGUUGGGGCUCACUUGCCAUACUUGAGCUGCACAGGAAGUGACACAAUCAGGCGCUAAAUCCUGCGUGCCAGGUUUCACCCCAUUCUCACUGAUGCCGGGGCCACGCUGACAUCACGGGCUGCAAGAUGUGCCCGCAUAACGAUUUCAUCACUCGCUGACAUCACCUCGCACCUCUGUCAGCCG